UACGGAGGGUGCGAGCGUUAUUCGGAAUUACUGGGCGUAAAGCGUGUGCAGGCGGUUCGUUAAGUCAGCUGUGAAAGCCCCGGGCUCAACCUGGGAAUUGCGGUUGAAACUGGCGAACUAGAAUCUGGCAGAGGGGGGUGGAAUUCCACGUGUAGCAGUGAAAUGCGUAGAGAUGUGGAGGAACACCGAUGGCGAAGGCAGCCCCCUGGGCUGAGAUUGACGCUCAGGCACGAAAGCGUGGGGAGCAAACAGG
rnacentral:rRNA from 1 species